rnacentral:siRNA from 1 species
AACAUAAGUUAUGUUGCCAACACC